CACCUGGUUGAUCCUGCCAGUAGUCAUAUGCUUGUCUCAAAGAUUAAGCCAUGCAUGUCUAAGUAUAAGCUUUAAACGGCGAAACUGCGAAUGGCUCAUUAAAACAGUUAUAGUUUAUUUGGUGAUCGAUUACUAUUUGGAUAACCGUAGUAAUUCUAGAGCUAAUACAUGCGUCAAGGCCCGACUUCGGAAGGGCUGCGUUUAUUAGAUACAGAACCAACCUAGGCUCCGCCUAGUCCUUGUUGGUGAUUCAUAAUAACCCGGCGAAUCGCACGGCUUGUCCGGCGAUGGACCAUUCAAGUUUCUGACCUAUCAGCUAUGGACGGUAGGGUAUUGGCCUACCGUGGCGUUGACGGGUAACGGGGAAUUAGGGUUCGAUUCCGGAGAGGGAGCCUGAGAAACGGCUACCACAUCUAAGGAAGGCAGCAGGCGCGCAAAUUACCCAAUCCUGAUACAGGGAGGUAGUGACAAGAAAUAACAAUACAGGGCAAUUCUGUCUUGUAAUUGGAAUGAGUAGAUUUUAAAUCUCUUUACGAGUAUCAAUUGGAGGGCAAGUCUGGUGCCAGCAGCCGCGGUAAUUCCAGCUCCAAUAGCGUAUAUUAAAGUUGUUGCGGUUAAAAAGCUCGUAGUUGGAUUUCUGCCUUGGGCGACCGAUCCACCUUUCCUACGGGAUUGGUCGGUAUCAGGUUUGACCUUGGCUUUUUCUUGGGAUUCGUGCUCACGUACUUAACUGUGCGUUGACCGUGUUCCAAGACUUUUACUUUGAGGAAAUUAGAGUGUUUCAAGCAGGCUUAUGCCAUGAAUACAUUAGCAUGGAAUAAUAGGAUAUGACUUCGGUCAUAUUUUGUUGGUUUCUAGGACUGAAGUAAUG
rnacentral:ncRNA from 1 species